rnacentral:rRNA from 1 species
AACGAACGCUGGCGGCAUGCCUAACACAUGCAAGUCGAACGAGACCUUCGGGUCUAGUGGCGCACGGGUGCGUAACGCGUGGGAACCUGCCCUUAGGUUCGGAAUAACUCCCCGAAAGGGGUGCUAAUACCGGAUAAUGUCUUCGGACCAAAGAUUUUAUCGCCCUUGGAUGGGCCCGCGUUGGAUUAGCUAGUUGGUAGGGUAAAAGCCUACCAAGGCGACGAUCCAUAGCUGGUCUGAGAGGAUGAUCAGCCACACUGGGACUGAGACACGGCCCAGACUCCUACGGGAGGCAGCAGUGGGGAAUAUUGGACAAUGGGCGAAAGCCUGAUCCAGCAAUGCCGCGUGAGUGAUGAAGGCCUUAGGGUUGUAAAGCUCUUUUACCCGGGAUGAUAAUGACAGUACCGGGAGAAUAAGCUCCGGCUAACUCCGUG